AUGUCUACCUGUCUCACUGACAUGAUUAAUGCCAAUGAGGUGGAUUUCCUUGGAUUACAAGAAACUAUGAAAAGUAACUAUUCCCUUUCGUUCUUUAGAAAAUUGGACCCACAACAAAAAUUCUAUUGGGAGUGGAAUCCUUCUAGGGGGAAAUCUGGAGGCAUCCUUUGUGGGGUUAAUAAAACCAAGUUUGACAUCCUUGAGGUGAUUCAUGGGAAAUUUACUUUGCAGGUUAAUUUGGUGGAUAAGAGUAAGAAUUGUAACUGGGCCUUGCUGGUGGCCUAUGGGGCCGCACAAGAUGAAAGUAACGAAUUUAUAGCAGAGUUAUCUUCUAUGUGUCAUAGGAUUGUUAUUCCUUACAUGGUGGGAGGGGAUUUUAAUAUUUUGCGUCAUAGUGGGGAGAAAAACAAGAAAACCCCACUGUCCCAUUUCUCUGAUUUUUUCAACUCUGUUAUUCAUUUACUGGGGUUAAGAGAGAUUAUCAUGUCAGGAGGUCUUUACACAUGGUCGAACAAGCAAGAGCACCCUACUUUGGAAACGUUGGAUAGGGUCCUAAUGUCCUCGGACUGGGAGGACCUUUUUCCUUUGGUAUCAGUACAUAAAAUGGUUAAAGAGAUAUCCGAUCACAACCCCUUGCUUCUAGAUGGGGGUUUGCUUCUUCUAGAACCCCUGGAAAUAGAUGCUUUAAGUUUGAUAAUGCCUGGUUGA
rnacentral:rRNA from 1 species